GAUGCUAGCCCCAACUUCGUGACACGACUCUUUCCUCUCCUUGGUGCGACUCUUCCUCGCCGCGAUGUCAUCCCCUCCGCGGCCAAAGCCAAUGGCAACUCCGCUCGAACCCGCCUUCUCCUCUAUGAGUGGUUCCCUGUCUCCUCCACUCCUGCCAAUGGCAGCGCCCAACCGAAGGAACACCCACUGAGGAAGUUCCGAUACAUACCGGCAAGAACCAAGCCCUAUCGAAGGGGCACAUCCAGGUCUCCUGCUAAUGGUGCAGCAGCAAUCCCCUCUGAUUGAGCAUACACUUCAACCAAGCCAAUCUCCCAAUCACUUGCGUUGGAUCUCUUGCUAGUUUCUCAAUAGGUGUCGUUCGUCACUCAAAUAUUAAUUUACCAUUCUUUGAUAUACUGCUUUGCAAGUUUCCUGAAAAAAAAAAAAGCAACAAAUCUGAAAAACAGAUCCACACAAAAACAAUAUUCAGAUUACAAUUCAUUUGGACUUAUCGAUAGCCUUCGAUCGGUAGAAAAUAGGACGACAAUUAUUGAGCUCAAUAAUUCAAGAUGGCCAUUGCUUGGUGCGAGGCAUCAUGUUUUGUUCAUGUAUGGAAAAAAUGAAUUUGCUAUGUUGGUUAAAA